GACGAACGCUGGCGGCGUGCUUAACACAUGCAAGUCGAACGGUAAGGCCCCAGCUUGCUGGGGUACACGAGUGGCGAACGGGUGAGUAACACGUGGGUCACCUGCCCCGCACUUCGGGAUAAGCCUGGGAAACUGGGUCUAAUACCGGAUAGGACCGCACCGUGAGGGUGUGGUGGAAAGUUUUGCGGUGUGGGAUGGGCCCGCGGCCUAUCAGCUUGUUGGUGGGGUAAUGGCCUACCAAGGCGGCGACGGGUAGCCGGCCUGAGAGGGUGGACGGCCACAUUGGGACUGAGACACGGCCCAGACUCCUACGGGAGGCAGCAGUGGGGAAUAUUGCACAAUGGGCGGAAGCCUGAUGCAGCGACGCCGCGUGGGGGAUGACGGCCUUCGGGUUGUAAACUCCUUUCACCAUCGACGAAGGUUUUCUGACGGUAGAUGGAGAAGAAGCACCGGCUAACUACGUG
rnacentral:rRNA from 1 species